CGUUUGUUUUCUCUUAUUUUUGAGUGUAAAUUCACAUUGCGAUAAGACGUGUCACGGUACUUGUCUAUCCCAAAUUCAUGUAUUUGGUUUUGAGGUUAUAUAUAUUAUUCUCGUGGGAUUUUGUCUAUGUGUGUUACAUUUUAGUGUUAUGUCGUUGUUUUCCUCUUAUAUUUAAUGCGUUUCCCUCGGUUUUAGUUUGUUAUCCCGAUUUUGUUUUUUGUCCAUGGAUUUAUGAGUUUUGAACAGCGGUAUACUACUGUUGCCUUAUUU
rnacentral:lncRNA from 1 species